rnacentral:rRNA from 1 species
UACGGAGGAUGCGAGCGUUAUCCGGAUCUAUUGGGUUUAAAGGGUGCGUAGGCGGACUGUCAAGUCAGCGGUAAAAUUGAGAGGCUCAACCUCUUCCCGCCGUUGAAACUGGUGGUCUUGAGUGGAUGAGAAGUACGCGGAAUGCGUGGUGUAGCGGUGAAAUGCAUAGAUAUCACGCAGAACUCCGAUUGCGAAGGCAGCGUACCGGCAUCCAACUGACGCUGAGGCACGAAAGCGUGGGGAUCAAACAGG